AUUGAACGCUGGCGGCAGGCCUAACACAUGCAAGUCGAGCGAGCGGCGGACGGGUGAGUAAUGUCUGGGAAACUGCCUGAUGGCGGGGGAUAACUACUGGAAACGGUAGCUAAUACCGCAUACCAUCAGAUGUGCCCAGAUGGGAUUAGCUAGUAGGUGGGGUAAAGGCCCACCAAGGCGACGAUCCGUAACUGGUCUGAGAGGAGGAUCAGCCACACUGGAACUGCGACACUGUCCAGACUCCUACGGGAGGCAGCAGUGGGGAAUAUUGGACAAUGGGCGAAAGCCUGAUCCAGCCAUGCCGCGUGUUUGAAGAAGGUCUUCGGAUUGUAAAGCACGUUAAGUUGGGAGGCGUUACCAACAGAAUAAGCACCGGCUAACUUCGUGCCAGCAGCCGCGGUAAUAC
rnacentral:rRNA from 1 species